CCUACGGGUGGCAGCAGUGAGGAAUAUUGGUCAAUGGGCGCGAGCCUGAUCCAGCCAAGUAGCGUGAAGGAUGACUGCCCUCCGGGUUGUAAGCUUCUUUUAUAAGGGAGUAAAGUGAGGCACGUUUGCCUUUUUGUAUGUACUUUAUAAAUAAGGAUCGGCUAACUCCGUGCCAGCAGCCGCGGUAAUACGGAGGAUCCGAGCGUUAUCCGGAUUUAGUGGGUUUAAAGGGAGCGUAGAUGGGUUGUUAAGUCAGUUGUGAAAGUUUGCGGCUCAACCGUAAAAUUGCAAUUGAUACUGGCAGUCUUGAGUACAGUUGAGGUAGGCGGAAUUCGUGGUGUAGCGGUGAAAUGCUUAGAUAUCACGAAGAACUCCGAUUGCGAAGGCAGCUUACUAAACUGCCACUGACAUUGAUGCUCGAAAGUGUGGGUAUCAAACAGGAUUAGAUACCCGAGUAGUC
rnacentral:rRNA from 1 species